rnacentral:snRNA from 1 species
GUGCUUGCUUUGAUAGCACAUCUACUACAAUUGGAACAAUACUGGGAAGAUGAGUAUGGUCCCUAUAAAUAAAGAAAAAUAAUUUUUUUGU